GUGGGCAUUGAUGGAUGGCUGUGGUAACGAAUAUCUUACUUAGCCCAAAGGCCCAAGUCUCCAGCUCAAAUCCUCAAAUUCGGGUUCCAUGAAGAACGACAAGUCGAACAAUGAAUGUGGUUGUCUUCAGCAAUGCCUUCAGUAUCUCAUCUCCUUCCAAAACUCCUAAUCGGCACUAAGCUACCAGAUACGGCCCACGAACUCUCAACUCGACUUCGCUUCAAUCUCACGUAAAUGCCAGGAUAAAUGAAGAAUCGCUGGCGAAAAAUCUUGACUCCACGACGAAGAAGACGCAGAUGGAUCCGUAUCCUACCUCAUCAUUAAAAUCGAAUUUGGUUGAGGUUGUGCAUGAAGAGAAAUUGAAGGAAGGGAACACUCAUCGAUUUCACGUUCUGGGUUGUUGUUCUCGCUUUGCCCCGUUUGUCUUAUUGUCGUACUUGUUGUUUUCGAUUGAGAAGAUGAUGAGUAGGGCUCUCCUUUGACUCUUACAGGGUAGUUGCAGAAUUAGAAUUUGGUUGAGGCUCUCAGAUGAUUCGGGUGUGUAGAAGUGGUUCCAAAGCUGAUGGAAACAGGGUUUUUUCGAAGAAAAGGUUCAAAGUUGUUGAGCUGGGAAACAGUUAGAGAUUUUUGAAGUUUUGGAUGCAGUUAUAGAGUUUGUUGAGGGAUUUUUGUUGUGAAAUUCGAUUAGAGGCGUUGUUAGAAGUUGUUAGGAUCAAGUGGUUUCUUUGUAGGUUCGGGCAGAAGAGGGGUUAGAAUGGGAGAAGUUGAAGGAAUUGUGAAGCUUGGUUCUGGACAAUUCGGUUUGUUGGUUCCAUUGCCAAAAAAAAAUUAUAGUGAACUCAAGAGUUGUUAAGAAGUUAACGGUGGUAUUCAAUUAGGAGAUGGUUGUGGAGAGUGAAGUUUUGAAGUGGUUCUUGAAGUUAUGCAAUGGCAGGUUCUUGGUGCGGGAAGGUUAUUAAAUUCUGCAACAAGAUCUUCUAAGGGGACACAUUUGUGCUUCUUUACAUAUUCUCUAAGUUUGUCAAGAAAGUAUUCAAUUAUAUUUUGCUCCUCUUCAAGUGUAUCCUCAUCAUCAACUGAAAACUCACCUUUCCGCUUCUCAAAUUCAAAAUGCAACAGCACCCUCUUCCUUAGCCUUUUGAGCUUUGGCUUAUGAAUUAUUAUAAUUUGGUUCAUGUAUUAAUCUUGAAAUCAGCUCAUGAAUUGCGAAUUAAAUGUAUGGUUUUGAUAUUGGUUUAUAAUGUAAGAACUACUUGGAAGUGCAAGGCUUUGAAUGGAAAUUAGCUUGGCUUGUGGUUCGCUUGGAAUAA